CCGUCUCUUGAAGCCCGUGGGACGUAGCUGCCACCUCCUCCUCCGACAGCUUCUCCUACAAAUGAAACGGCGGAUAACGAAUCUAAGGAACCGCAGGCGAAUCGUUUGAUUGAAAGGAUUGAAAGAAUGAAUGCGAAAAUGAAAGCCACGAUGAAGAUGGAACAAAAUCGUUUCAAUCACGUUGCUCGAACGGUUCGCCUGCGAUUCCUUGGAUUCGCUAUCCACUAUUUCAUUCAUAUGAGAAGCUGCCGCAAAGAGGAGUAGGUGGCUCCGCAAUGGCGCCGCCACGGGCUUCAAGAGACGGGCCAGGAGGCGACGGACCAGGCCCAUCGGCCUCACUCAAAUUUGCCUUUUUCAGAAGAUUUUUCCGGGAAACAAUCGUGGUCUCCCCCAGAUUCAUCUCAACUUUAAACCGCACCCGGCCGCCGCCAGCCUCCACUAACGGUCCCUGCGGAUGGAUUCAGCGUCUUUCACCAUCAAUUAUGUGCUCUAUCAAUGAAGAGAAGUAGGGUUGUGACGAAAUCGGGUUGAAUUUUGUGGAAACACGCUUGCAUUAUUGAGUUGAUGAGAGAGAGGAAAAGACGAUUUUCAUUUUUCUCAUAUUUCUUUGGAAAUGUAACGGUUACAGCUAUGUCUGAUAUGAGGAAUAAAUGAUUUUACCCAAA